rnacentral:lncRNA from 1 species
CAGGUGUCAUAUUUUUUUUUAUCUCCAGCUAUGCUGAUCAGCAAUAUUUAAAUUCACAUUUAAUCCAUAUACUAGAAGAGAAAAAUAUAUUUACCAUUAAUGUAACAAAGAGACAUACUCUUUUCUACCAGAGACUGAAUGAUGUAAAGUACUAUAGGUCAGCAACUCACUGUUCUGACUUCAACAGUGAGCAAAAUGAGAAAAAAUAGGUAUUUAUUAAAAUUUGUUUCCCCCACAAUCUUUCAAAACCCCUUCUCCAUGUAAGGGGUUGAAAUCUGCUUAUUGUUUGUAUAAUCUAUUCAUCCCAUGAAAUUUGUGUCACAAUGUUCUAUCAGAACUUCCUCAAAUUAGGUUUCAAGCUUUUAAUGAUAUAUUUUCAGUAAUGAAUGGUUAAACUAACAAUUGAACUGCAAUCUGCUGG